rnacentral:rRNA from 1 species
AGAGUUUGAUCCUGGCUCAGGAUGAACGCUAGCGAUAGGCCUAACACAUGCAAGUCGAGGGGCAGCACAUGAAGUAGCAAUACAGAUGGUGGCGACCGGCGGAUGGGUGAGUAACACGUAUGCAACCUACCUUUAACACGGGCAUAACUCGGAGAAAUUCGUGCUAAUUCCCGAUAAUACAGGGGCACCGCAUGGUGAUAUUUGUUAAAGAUUUAUUGGUUAAAGAUGGGCAUGCGUUCCAUUAGCUAGUUGGUGAGGUAACUGCUCACCAAGGCUACGAUGGAUAGGGGGACUGAGAGGUUUAUCCCCCACACUGGUACUGAGACACGGACCAGACUCCUACGGGAGGCAGCAGUGAGGAAUAUUGGUCAAUGAGCGAAAGCUUGAACCAGCCAAGUCGCGUGAAGGAUGAAUGUCCUAAGGAUUGUAAACUUCUUUUAUACAGGAAUAAAUGUUGCCACGUGUGGCAAUUUGCAUGUACUGUAUGAAUAAGGAUCGGCUAACUCCGUGCCAGCAGCCGCGGUAAUACGGAGGAUCCGAGCGUUAUCCGGAUUUAUUGGGUUUAAAGGGUGCGCAGGCGGGAAAUUAAGUCGGCGGUGAAAUUUUGCGGCUCAACCGUAAAAGUGCCUUCGAUACUGGUUUUCUUGAGUGUAGCUGAAGUAGGCGGAAUUUGUGGUGUAGCGGUGAAAUGCAUAGAUAUCACGAGGAACUCCGAUUGCGCAGGCAGCUUACUAAACUACUACUGACGCUCAUGCACGAAGGCGUGGGGAUCAAACAGGAUUAGAUACCCUGGUAGUCCACGCAGUAAACGAUGAUUACUAGUUGUUUGCGAUACACAGUAAGCGACUGAGCGAAAGCAUUAAGUAAUCCACCUGGGGAGUACGUUCACAAGGAUCUGAAAAUGUACGGCCAUACUCACUAUUGGUUAAUCGGCGGUCGUGGUUCUACUAAGUCCUCAUGUAUCUCAGUUGAGAUCAUCUUAUGUUGGUAUCGUGACUGG